rnacentral:rRNA from 1 species
CCUACGGGCGGCAGCAGUGAGGAAUAUUGGUCAAUGGACGAGAGUCUGAACCAGCCAAGUAGCGUGAAGGAUGACUGCCCUAUGGGUUGUAAACUUCUUUUAUAUGGGAAUAAAAUGUUCCACGUGUGGGAUUUUGUAUGUACCAUAUGAAUAAGGAUCGGCUAACUCCGUGCCAGCAGCCGCGGUAAUACGGAGGAUCCGAGCGUUAUCCGGAUUUAUUGGGUUUAAAGGGAGCGUAGGUGGAUUGUUAAGUCAGUUGUGAAAGUUUGUGGCUCAACCGUAAAAUUGCAGUUGAAACUGGCAGUCUUGAGUACAGUAGAGGUGGGCGGAAUUCGUGGUGUAGCGGUGAAAUGCUUAGAUAUCACGAAGAACUCCGAUUGCGAAGGCAGUUCACUGGACUGCAACUGACACUGAGGCUCGAAAGUGUGGGUAUCAAACAGGAUUAGAUACCCUUGUAGUC